CGCACGGGUGCGUAACGCGUAUACAAUUUACCCCAAAGUGGGGAAUAGCUUCCGGAAACGGAAAUUAAUACCCCAUGUUUUUGAGAAGUCGCAUGAUUUUUCAAGUAAAGAUUUAUCGCUUUGGGAUGAGUAUGCGUCUGAUUAGUUAGUUGGUGAGGUAACGGCUCACCAAGACAUCGAUCAGUAGCUGGUCUGAGAGGAUGAUCAGCCACACGGGAACUGAGACACGGUCCCG
rnacentral:rRNA from 1 species